GCCCAGCGCCGGCGUCGCCCGGGAACCCCAGACUCUGCGCAACUGGCUGCGAUUCCAAAUCCCUCAGAUCGGCUACCAGAGCGCUGCCGCCACCGAGAAAAUGGAGGCACCGAGGAACAAGAUGUGCCGCGACCAAGAGAACUCGGCUUGGCGAAAUGGCGGUGCUGGGACCCUAAGAGUGACGCCAGCCGGAGGAGUUCCCAAGGACAACAUCCAUUUUGGCGGAACCAACGGUGUUGUCACGCAGAAAAUGUCGACCCUCGGAAAAGAGAGGUUCUGCGACCGAGAAAUUCGGUGCAACAAGUGCUGUGACAGAAAACCCCCCGCUCGGCGCUGCUGGCGAAAGAGCCAACAAAACGCUGGGUGCUGCCACCGUGACACCGACUUUAGGACCCCGGCCUCGGAUGGAGAAAGGAGGGUACGGAGCCACCACAUAACUUCCUAAUGUCUUCAAAUAGCGAAAGUGCUAGCCGGAAACUGCCGGCUGGGUUUACCUAUUGGUGCUCGUGUGGGACUAGCAGAUUCGAGAAACCAGCGGGACUGGAACCUAGUACACUUCGGCAGUUGAGAAAUGACUUACCAGGACAAAUACUGCUUCUGGCUCGAUGGUGCUGCCCAUGAACAUCCGCCGGCUCUGAGAAACGAGCUGCACUGUCAGUGAGAAACCGUGGGCACUGAGAAACGAGCGGACUGCAACUGAUAACUGCCCACCCAGUGCCACUACGACAAAGUGCUGCUGGCACUACUCCCACCCUCCGUCCUCAAAUCAGUCCCCUCCCGCCUAAGAAGACCUUUAUUUUUCCUAGCGAAGUCAUACUGAGGGCCCCAUCAACCGAUCCCUUGCGAUGCGCAUGGGAAAAGGAGGCAGUAUAGGGACCGAGAAUCGGGCGGAUUGGGCUGGCCCUGGUAACAAAAGCCAUCCGGGUCGCCAACCGUCUUCCACUGCAAGAAACAAACCUUCCAGUGGCUGGGCUCCGCCCUUCUCCUUGGUCAGAGCCCUCCAGGCUCCUAAGGGCGAAGCCGACACCUCAUCCCUUUGGAACUUGAAGUUCUCAGUCCAAGACCUCCGUGGAGAGUGAAAGACUCAAUGCCUCCUGACCGAGGCUUCAGGCCUGCCCCGGCAGCUAGGUACCUCUCCAGGGGAUGGAACUCUGUGGGAACUGCUAUUUAAUUCUGAUGGUUAACUCUGUCAGAUGGCCUUGAUAUAUGGGAAUAAUCGUUGCAGGAGGGUAGGGGAAAUAAGAAUCGCAAGACUCUAGCACAGGACGUGUGGAUUGAUGGAAACCUGAAACUGCCAUUGAGCAGAAGGAAAACAUCCCUUUCCAGAACCUUUCUCGUUUUUCUAAAAAUCUGCACUUUUGGAAGUGAUCCCCCAAAGAGACCUCCAGACUCUACCAUGAGUGUCUCCAGCUGAACUCAUCGUGUCUAAUCCUCACCCUAGCUUAUCCUGUUCAAAUCAUUUCCAUCUUUUUCUGGAUGAACCUGGGCGGAUGUCAGACCAGAGAAGAGCACAGAAUGUACCAGAGAGAGUCUUGCUCUGUCACCCAGGCUGAAGUGCACCCAGGCUGAAGUUGGAGGCUAUGGUGAGCUGCACCACUACACCACUAUGGGAGGCCGAGGCGAGUGGAUUGCCUGAGCUCAGGAGUUCGAGACCAGCCUGGGCAACGUUGUGAAACCCCGUCUCUACUAAAACACAAAAAAUUAGCCAGGCCUGGCGGCAUGUGCCUAUAGUCCCAGCUACUCAGGAGGCUGAGGCAGGAGAAUUGCUUGAACCCGGGAGCUGGAGGUUGCAGUGAGCCGAGAUUGCGCCACUGCACUCCAGCCUCGGUGACAGAGUGAGACUCCGUCUCAAAAAAAAACAAUAUAAGGUGAAGGCCAAGCAGGGUGGCACAUACCUGUUGUCUCACCUACUCAAAAGGCUGAGGCCAGAGGAGGAUUGCUGGAAGUGAGUUCAAAGCCAGCCUAGAGAAUAUAUUGAGACUCUGUCUCUAAAUUUUAUAUAUAUAUGGUGAAUUCACCUUUACCAUAUCUUUUAUGUAUAAGCAAUGGGAUUGAUUAGCAAGUAAUGGGACUCUGAAAUCAAAGGGGUAAAUUUGGGUAGAUCUUUAUAAAUAUAAUAACCUUGAACCCCACAAAUCUCUCUAAGCGUCCUUUAAAAAAUAGACUUUCUGUCUGAGUAGGUGAGUCCUUUUUUUUGUUUGAAGAUACUAGAAAGCUCUUACUUGAGACAGCUCCUAAAAGAAUGUCAAUUCAACAGAAGUCUCAUAGCCAGUAUAACUAAUUCUAACCCCCUAACUAGAGUCAGAUACUAGGAUACCCCUAAGGGACAACAAUGAAAUCUGAAUUUGGGUGUCAUUGCUUACAUAUCAAAACAGUUGCAAGAGACAGUUAAUUUAUAUUUGCAGAAACCAUAUGAAUUUGUAUGAAAAUGAUUUUUUAAAGUGCUAUAUCAAGAAAACUAGAACAUAAUGCAGAACAAAUAAAAUUUACUUAUAUGGGUGCCAAGAAUAGAAAUUCUGGGUUCCGCAUACAUCAGCAUCUAGAAGAAUCUGCAGUAGGUAUGGAUGGUUGAUUGAGGCCUUUAUUCAAUGGUAGUCUACAAAGAAUAAGACAGAAGUAAGAACUUUCCUGUUAAAAUGGAAAGAUAGAGUAAACAAGUUUAGGAAUAUCUCAUAAGCCACUGAUUCCAUUCUUAGGUCUAUAUCCAAGGGAAAUUCUUGCACAUGCACACAAGGAAACAUGGAAGAGAAUGUCCAUAUAUGUACUGUUCACAGUAACAAAAAUUUGCUGAGGAGGAAGGAACUAAAACUCCAACAAUAGGAGAGCGGAUAGAAAGGAACAUAUUAUAUUCACAGAACGGAAUAUUUUACAAAAAUCAGAAUAAACUACAACAUUACUCAAAAUCAUGGCUGCAUUAUAGCAACAUAAUAUUCAGAGAAAAAGUUUAAAAGACUACAUAGAACUGUCAAUUGAGGAAAAUGACAAGAUAAGUCUCAAUCAUUUUAGGAGGUUUAUUUGCCAAAGUUAAGGACAUGCCUGGGAGACAGGUCUAUGCCUUUCUCUGAUGAUGAUUUUGAGGGCUCCAAAUUUAAAGGGGAAAGGGCAGGAUAUUGAGAAGCGCACAGUUUUCACAUAAACCAAAGGGGCAGAGGAAAAAUAUGGGGAAUCUGCAUUUUACAUAAGAUAACAGACAAAAUGGGGUAGAGGGAACAAUCAGAUAUGCAUUUGUGUCUGGCGAGCAGGGUGACUGCACAUGUAAAGAUAAGCUAUCAAUUUGCAUUGCCAUGGUGAAGUUUUAACAGCUCACCAGGAAUUUCCCUG
rnacentral:lncRNA from 1 species